UACGUAGGUGGCAAGCGUUGUCCGGAAUCAUUGGGCGUAAAGCGCGUGUAGGCGGCCCGGUAAGUCCGCUGUGAAAGUCCAGGGCUCAACCCUGGGAUGCCGGUGGAUACUGUCGGGCUCGAGUCCGGAAGAGGCGAGUGGAAUUCCCAGUGUAGCGGUGAAAUGCGUAGAUAUUGGGAGGAACACCAGUGGCGAAGGCGGCUCACUGGACCGGAACUGACGCUGAGGCACGAAAGCGUGGGUAGCAAACAGG
rnacentral:rRNA from 1 species